rnacentral:rRNA from 1 species
CAGUAGCCGCGGGAAUACGUGGGUGGCAAGCGUUGUCCGGAAUUAUUGGGCGUAAAGCGAGCGCAAGCGGUUAGAUAAGUCUGAAGUUAAAGGCUGUGGCUUAACCAUAGUACGCUUUGGAAACUGUUUAACUUGAGUGCAGAAGGGGAGAGUGGAAUUCCAUGUGUAGCGGUGAAAUGCGUAGAUAUAUGGAGGAACACCGGUGGCGAAAGCGGCUCUCUGGUCUGUAACUGACGCUGAGGCUCGAAAGCGUGGGGAGCAAACAGGAUUAGAUACCCCAGUAGUCCCUGUCUCUUAUACC